CAGUCGCCACGGUAAUACGGAGGGAGCUAGCGUUAUUCGGAAUUACUGGGCGUAAAGCGCACGUAGGCGGCUUUGUAAGUUAGAGGUGAAAGCCUGGAGCUCAACUCCAGAAUUGCCUUUAAGACUGCAUCGCUUGAAUCCAGGAGAGGUGAGUGGAAUUCCGAGUGUAGAGGUGAAAUUCGUAGAUAUUCGGAAGAACACCAGUAGCGAAGGCGGCUCACUGGACUGGUAUUGACGCUGAGGUGCGAAAGCGUGGGGAGCAAACAGGAUUAGAUACCCCCGUAGUCCCUGUCUCUUAUAC
rnacentral:rRNA from 1 species